UAUACAGCGAAACUGCGAAUGGCUCAUUAUAUAAGUUAUCGUUUAUUUGAUAGUGCCUUACUACUUGGAUAACCGUGGUAAUUCUUGAGCUAAUACAUGCUAAAAACCCCGACUUCGGAAGGGGUGUAUUUAUUAGAUACAAAACCAAUGCCCUUCGGGGCUCUUUGGUGAUUCAUGAUAACUAUACGAAUCGCACGGCCUUGCGCCGGCGAUGGUUCAUUCAAAUUUCUUCCCUAUCAACUUUCGAUGUUUGGGUAUUGGCCAAACAUGGUUGCAACGGGUAACGGAGGGUUAGGGCUCGACCCCGGAGAAGGAGCCUGAGAAACGGCUACUACAUCCAAGGAAGGCAGCAGGCGCGCAAAUUACCCAAUCCCGACUCGGGGAGGUAGUGACAAUAAAUACUGAUACAGGGCCCUUUCGGGCCUUGUAAUUGGAAUGAGUACAAUUUAAAUCCCUUAACGAGGAACAAUUGGAGGGCAAGUCUGGUGCCAGCAGCCGCGGUAAUUCCAGCUCCAAUAGCGUAUAU
rnacentral:rRNA from 1 species